CGACCGGCGCACGGGUGAGUAACACGUAUCCAACCUGCCGAUGACUCGGGGAUAGCCUUUCGAAAGAAAGAUUAAUACCCGAUGGCAUAGUUCUUCCGCAUGGUAGAACUAUUAAAGAAUUUCGGUCAUCGAUGGGAUGCGUUCCAUUAGGUUGUUGCGGGGUAACGGCCCACCAAGCCUUCGAUGGAUAGGGGUUCUGAGAGGAAGGUCCCCCACAUUGGAACUGAGACACGGUCCAAACUCCUACGGGAGGCAGCAUG
rnacentral:rRNA from 1 species